AUGAGCCACCUGACCAUCUCAAGCACAAUACAAGAAGAUGAGGCCAUGUAUCACUGCGCAGUGACCUACUGGAAAGGUGAUGAUUGGAGUGGCACAUUUUUGUCCUUAAAAGGAAACACACAGAGGAUGUCAGACUAUACUGUUGUGCAGAGGCCAGUGUCUGAGCCCGUCUAUGAAGGAGACCCUGUGACUCUCCAGUGUUCACUCCUCUCUGACUCGGAGAACAAAGCCUGUCCAGCAGGACACAGUGUGUUCUGGUUCAGAGCCGGAUCAGAUGAGUCUCAUCCCAGGAUCAUUUACACUCAUGGAAACAGGAGUGAUGGAUGUGAGAAGAGUCCUGAGGCUGGCUCUCCACCACAGAGCUGUGUCUACAACUUUUCCAAGAGCAGCGUCAACUCCUCUGAUGCUGGGACUUACUACUGUGCUGUGGCCACAUGUGGGGAGAUCCUGUUUGGAAAUGCAACUAAACUGGACAUUGAAGAAAAAGGAAGUCCAGUUUUCAUUGCUCUGAUCACGACCGCGGUCUGCCUGGCCCUGUCUGUAAUUGGAAAUAUUGUUCUCAUCUGUAACCGAAAUCCAACCCAAUCAGUGUGUGAACGAUGUAAAGGUAAGCUGUCUUAG